ACAGAUGCUAGCAACCCCCAGAAGCCAGAAAAGGGCAAGAAAGGGCCCUUCCCUGGAAUCUUGAGAGAGAGAGAGAGACAGCGCAGUAUGGUCCCGGCAACACCUCGAUUUCGGACUUCCAGCCUCUAGAAUUGUGAAACAAUCAAUCUGUUGUUUUAGGCCACUCAAUCUGUGGUACUUUGUUACAGCAACUCUAGAAAACUAAUACUCAUCCUGGAGGGAUGCACAUAGCUAAGACACUUCCUUCACUGAAAUCCUGAGACAGGUACAAAGUGUCAACAGAGCUUCUUCAGUGGGCACACAGAAAUGUUUGUACGCUCUGUAUCAGAAUAAGAAAAUGAUUACGAUAUAAACAGAAAGAUGCAAAAGACAACAGUAGAGUGUUCCUAAAAACCUUCAUAUGAUUUAUCCUGGGAUUGUGAAAGCUGAAGAUACCAGAAUAGUCACUUUUGUUGGACCCAGACAAAAUAGGGCCGGGAAGGAGGCACAUGCAUGCAUGUCGGAGGACUGCAAUAAUUCAAACAAGACAUUCUCCAAAGGAUACCUGCUCAGUAACAGCAUCUCCGUCAAUGAACUGAUAACAACUCUGGCUUUGAACCUAUGGAACCCAUGGACUCUGUUUCUAAGCAGCUUAUGAAAAUCUUUUUUUGCUAAUAAAAGUUCCCCUUACACAGAA